GGGAUUUCCACAAUGCCCUCAGCAGGGUCUGGGCUCCCUACACUAAUUGCCCUGGCGAGUUUUGAAGAGGAGCCGGAUCCUGUCUGCUGCCUCCUUGUUCCGCGCCAACACCAUCACUCCCGUUGUCUCCUUGUCCAGCCGAUGACACAGGUGCAGUGGUUCAGCUUUCAUGUUCACCAGCAUCUUUGCCAAAAUCGGCAGCACAUCAGCAAUACAGUUCUUGACCCCGGGGCCGCCGUGCACAGGCAGGCCGUAGGGCUUGUUGAGAACCACCACCUCCUCGUCCUGGUACACGGCUCGCUGCCGAAGCGCCUUGGCCAGCACGUUGGGGUGCACCCGCUGCAGCGCGGCCAGCUCCCGGGCCCGCCUCCGCGCCGGCUCCGCGGCCACCUCUUGCUGCUGCUGCUGCUGCUUCUUCUUCUUCUUCUUCUCCUCCUCCUCCUCGCUCCGCUUCGCCCGCAGACGCUCCGCCAGCUCCUGUGCCCGCACCGCCCCCGCCGCCGUCCGCCCCAAAGCCUCUCCCGGCCGCCGCCACAGGCGCCCACUGAGCGCCGCCAUUUUUCCGGCCCGCCUG
rnacentral:lncRNA from 1 species